rnacentral:rRNA from 1 species
UACGUAGGGGGCAAGCGUUGUCCGGAUUUAUUGGGCGUAAAGAGCGUGUAGGCGGCCAGGUAGGUCCGCUGUGAAAACUCGAGGCUCAACCUCGAGAUGUCGGCGGAAACCAUCUGGCUAGAGUCCGGAAGAGGAGAGUGGAAUUCCUGGUGUAGCGGUGAAAUGCGCAGAUAUCAGGAAGAACACCCGUGGCGAAGGCGGUUCUCUGGGACGGUACUGACGCUGAGGAGCGAAAGCGUGGGGAGCGAACAGG